rnacentral:tRNA from 1 species
AGGAAGUUAGUUAAAACAUAACGUUAGAGUGUCAAUCUAAAAUAACUAAUAAUUAGUAUACCUUU